rnacentral:rRNA from 1 species
CCCUUAGAGUUUGAUCCUGGCUCAGGAUGAACGCUAGCUACAGGCUUAACACAUGCAAGUCGAGGGGCAGCAUUUCAGUUUGCUUGCAAACUGGAGAUGGCGACCGGCGCACGGGUGAGUAACACGUAUCCAACCUGCCGAUAACUCGGGGAUAGCCUUUCGAAAGAAAGAUUAAUACCCGAUGGUAUAAUCAGACCGCAUGGUCUUGUUAUUAAAGAAUUUCGGUUAUCGAUGGGGAUGCGUUCCAUUAGGCAGUUGGUGAGGUAACGGCUCACCAAACCUUCGAUGGAUAGGGGUUCUGAGAGGAAGGUCCCCCACAUUGGAACUGAGACACGGUCCAAACUCCUACGGGAGGCAGCAGUGAGGAAUAUUGGUCAAUGGGCGCAGGCCUGAACCAGCCAAGUAGCGUGAAGGAUGACUGCCCUAUGGGUUGUAAACUUCUUUUAUAGGGAAUAAAGUUUCCAC